rnacentral:rRNA from 1 species
AUCGANGAAGAACGCAGCGAAAUGCGAUACGCAGUGCGAAUUGCAGAAWCCGCNGAGUCAUCAGAUCUUUGAACGCAAGUGGUGGGGAUGUAAAAAUCCUCAUGUUCGUUUCAGUGUGGAAAGGAAUCACGAAUCUUAAUGCGAUCGAAGCAAUCAAUCCUCGAGAUUGAGUUGUUUCCCUCGUCAAACGUGAUGGGUGGCAGAGCAAUCGCCGCCAGAACGAAGUAGUCACAUUUUCAAUGUGAACAUUCGUUCGGGCAAUCAAGGUGAGAACUCAACGAAGCUACACAUAGAAAAAAAUUAAACUUUUCUCACUACACCUGAAAUGAGCAAGAUUACCCGCUGAACUUAAG